UUUUUGUUUGUUUUUUUGUAUUGCAGGGGCCUUCUAAAAGAUGGUCCAUAUAGAGCAUAAAGAAACCAAUUGCUCUUUCCAAUGUUCUACAAGGAAUUAUGACAGCAAUGACAUCAUCUACAUGGAUGCUGUGCAUGUGCAAAACUCGAUGGAGACGCUGAACAUUGACCUGUGUGUGCCAGCUAGUCAAUAAAAUGGCUCUCACUGAGACCGAAGUUUUUAGUUGAGCUGAUGAGCACCUCCUGGAGGACUUUGCGGUUUACUGUGCUCUGGGAUUACAAAAAUUCAACACGCAGCAGACGGCAGAUAAAACCAGAGCCAAGCUGGCUGUGACUAAAGAGGUAUGAAAUGCCAUGAUGACAUUCCUUUUGAGUCACUGGAAAUCACUUCAUAUUGUCAGAAUAAUGAGCAAGUGAUCUGAAUG